CAUUUCAAAGGCUUUCACAAUUUUUUCCCACACAGAUAAUGUAAAAUCAAACACAAUUAUCCCCAUGACUGUCUGAAGUUCUUAGUACUUCUGGUGCUUGAUCAGAUUUGAUUUCAUUGCAAAAAGAGCAAUGGUUUACAUCUAUUUUUUGGAGAAGAUUCAUCUCUUACUUGCAGAAGUGUCACCAGGCAAAGCCCAUGAACAAUUCCCAGGGAAAGUAAAACAGAGGUUGGGUAAUAAAGUCUCACCUUUUUUUUUUUUUUUUUCCUUUUUCUUGGUGCUUAGUCCAGUUUCACUUGCUCAUAGGCGUGCAGAGGCCUUCCAUCCGGCGCUGCAGGCCUGCGUUCCUACUGAGAAAUGGCUGUUCUGAUGCCCACCCGGCCGCGUGCGGAGAUGCUGCCAUCGACACCCUGAUUCAAGAUGGCGAGGUGGGCCCCGCGCAGAGAUGCGGAGGCCUCGGUGCCAUCUAGCGCAGGCGCAGCUCAGCUGUGCCCGCCCUCCUGCGAGCACGCCCCUCCCCUCCCUGCUGACCAGAUCCCUAUAAAGCUGCUCCACCCACGGCCCGUGGGGAGAGCCUGCUCUGGAGGGCGGGAGCCCUCACCUCUCCAUGCUUUGGUCCAAGAAAAAAUCUUUCCUUGGCUUCUGAACCAACUCUGUCUCAUUCUGUUGGCUCCAAGGACACUGGGCAGAAGAACCCUUGUUGGGGACUGACGUGGGAGGGUCAGUCACGGAUGCAGAAGAUUCAAAUGGCCAGUGAGAACGCACAUUCCCUCUUGGAGUGAUGAGGUCAUGCUAGAUGGGAGGGGAAUUAGCAGAUACAGGGGAGCAUCAGAUCCUGGAGUUGGAAGUGUGGGGGCAGACAACAGACUGAAUCUUCGGUGGGAAUGGCCUCUGGGGUUGUCAAAGGAAACAUCGAGAAGACUUUCAAAGAUUUUCAGUAUUCCUGGAACUUUGUAAAUUCUUCUAAAUCCUGGAAAAUCUUUUUUUUUUUCUUUUAUCAGGUCACCAAAUUAAUUCAUGUCCUCCAGAUGAGCCCCUCCUUUUCUGAAUUUUUCUCUUUUGGCUGCCAAGAGUUGCAUAUAUUUUGCAUGAACUGCCUCCAUGUAUUCUAAUUUUUUCAUCCUGGAGUUCAAAUUGCAUUCCCACCACCCAUAACAACAGUAAAGACAUUGUUCGGACGGAGAGCUCUCGUGUUCUGAUCAAAACGAUUUUUCUCAAGCAACCGAUCUGCUUCAGGAAUAGACAAUUGUGUGGCAGCAAUGAAGAGGAAUCAAAGCCCAUCAAAGGUUAGGAUGGAUUCCUGAGCCAGAACAGCCUGGGUGUGAAGUCUCGCUCUGGCUUUUACAGCGGUGUGACCUGGACAGGUCCUGCAGUUUUGAGUUGCCUUAAUGGAAGCAUGGUAUCAGCUGAGCAUGGCAUCAACUCAAGUUAGGGUGUCGUCCCAGUGUACUCUGUGAUUCCUGGAAGGCUACAAUCUACAAUCGGAAUCCCAGUUCAAAAGCAAUAUAUGAAAAUGAGUUUGAGUUUAGAGGUGACUGGCCAAGAUCAUGAAGGACUUGGCACUAUAUAUGUGAGAUGUGAUUAAAGAAAAGGAAAAUUUAGCCUGGAGAAAAAACUUUAAAGAUAAAGUAUUGCUAAGCUGUCAUCUGGGAAAGAAAUUUGAUUUAUAAGGUACCAACAGGUAAACUGUCUUUAAUGGGAAGAAUUAAGAGAGAGGUUUUUUUUUUCCCUCAGUCUUAAGAAAGAAUUUUUAUGGGUAAAAACUAUCCAAAGAUGGGACAAAACAAUAAGGGUUUUCUUCAUUGUAAAAAGAAUGUGUGUCCUUAAAAAAAAAAAUCAGAGAACAAAAAAUGUUGAAAUAUAAACAUUGUUAUUGUUUGGAAAUCUCACCAUCUGUUUAAACUCAAGUAUGCUAAUGCAUUGUUUGAAAAAAGUUUUGAGUUUAAUAGUUCAACUGAAUCUGGCAGAUGUUCAUGCAGCAGUUGGUCCACAGCUAAGCAGUGAAGUUACAGACAGCAUGGCACUUAUAUUAAAUAACAUUUUAGGCCCCUUUCAAAUCCGAGAGUCUAUUAUCUUGUAAAUGCCAGAAGCAUUGAUUCUAUUGAGAUCAUACCUCAGGCUGGCCUUCGCUCCAGACUCCUGUAAAUAUGUGAGUUAGCUCAAUCCUUGGACCCUAACAGCUCCAUCCACAGCUGGUUAACUAGAAUGGAGAGCUGAUGCAGUUGCCAAGCAACUCCGAUUUGGGUAAAUAUGUCUCCUUUUUUCUGGUCUACCAGAUAGCUGGAUAAACAAACAUUCUUUUGAAUAUAACUCAAUCUUAUCCUAUGAGGACACAUAAAAUUAAAGAACUAAAGCAGAUAUUUAGGUAAUUUAGGGCAAAAAUGUCUAUGAAUAAUCUAAAAAUGUAAAAGCCCAAAUGGCUUGACCCAAGGGCAUAAUGUCCUCCAACCCUACAUUUUAAUGUGUGAGGAGGACAAUGUCUCAGCAACACUGCAUUUCUCCUUGAGUAGGCAGUUUAUGCAGUAGCCAGAGACAGAAAAAGAAGACAAUAGAACCAGGGGUAAGUGUGCAACUGCAUUUCUUCUACAAAUUGGAGUUGAUUUGUGAGUUGGGAUGUCUUUUUUUAGAAUCUUGGACCAAGUCGGUAGCUGCUAGCAAGACAAUGAGGUCAGUUUCUGGCAGCUACGAAAUGGUUGUUUCCCAUACUAGACUCUGAGCUCUUCGAGGGCAUUUAUUUUUGUAUUUCACAAUGUCCAGAAAGCAUAAAGUACUAAAUAUUAACUUAUUGUGAUUACAGAUCAAAGUUGUCCUUGACAUAAUGUAUACUCACUUAUGUUCCCCAAUUUAUGGGCACAAAAUAUGCAUACUAUACUAAAUAUACAUAAUAUACAUACGAUCAAGAUACUGAAAUGAUGCAAAUGAAUUCUCUGAACAUAUGUAUUACUAUUGUGACACCUUAAAGCUUAAGCCAACAAAAGCAUUUUUUUGCCUGUAACAGUGCUAAAAUAUUGGUAUUUAUUUAUUAAAGCGUUUUCCACAAUUCGUUGCCAUGCUUGUGUUAGAAGAUGGCCAAGUUUCGAAUUAUUAGGUGUUGGUAUUUCAAUAUUUUUCUUUUUCUGACUCUUAAAAAUGACAUGUAUUCUUUUUUACAAUGAAGAAAACCACCAUUUGUUUUAGAAUUAUUAAAAAACCUAGGAAGAUUCCAACUAUUCUCAGCAUAGAGAAUGACAUUUGCCUAAAUCAUGCUACACUAGCCCCCAGUGGUACCCAUAUGGCAGGGGUGAGAUAUGAACAGGGAGUGGAAAUCCUGAACAUUGGGGCUUGAAGGCUCUGUAUUCAAACGUCUGCUCUAGAGUUGGCCUGGGUUGAAGGGCUGGCAGCCACUCUUCAAUCAUGGUGGCUGCUGCAACUUUCUUCCCAUCUCUCCAUGCCACACAUCCUACGGAGCUCUCCCCUCCUCUAACCCACAGUCACUCUUGUAAAUUUCUAAGGGUUCUGCUUUGCUAGCAGCUUUGGGAGUCACCAGAUCCAAGAGGCACAAAAGGGAGGGUAUUGAGGCAAGUUUUCUGGCAGCCUUGAAGGGCAAACUGAUGGAGGAAAAAACUAGGCAGAUAAAUAUACAAAGAAAACAAGUUUCUCUGAAGGCCACCUGAUGUAGAGAAAGGUCUCCCCUUAAUGCACACAUUAGAGGUUCUCUGUUAUUGUCACAAGACUAAGGGUUAAGCAUUGUCAUCACCCUUAUUUAUUGAUAAAGACACUGAGAUGCCGAGAGGUAAAAGACUCAGCCAAGAUUUGUUUUCUCAUUCUGCUGGACACAAAGCCAUUACAUGACCUUUUGAGAAAGACCAUUUCGAGAAGACAGAAUCAGUAAGAGCAGAGACUUCAGUUAAUUUAAAUCCCCACCAACGCUACUGUUCUCUCUCUUACAUAGGCAGAGAGGACUUUACUUCCUGCAGGGCUUUCCCACUUUUUUUUCCCACUCCUCUGAAAGGUUCUAAAAAUUAUGAGUUCUUUAAGCUCAUGUCUCCAUCUCUUUAGUAUCUCUAGCACCUGGUAUAAUGCCUGACACUCGGCCCAGAGGUGGGGAAUGAGGCUGAUGGGGAGAGGGCCAUUGGCAUAUUUUCUCCAUGAAUGGGUGUGAAAGCGUUUCAAGCUUAUGAAGACCUGGGAUUUCAUCUUACUUCUGCCACUAGUUAACAGUUCUGGGAAAGUGACUGAGCUAAUCUGUGCUGAUUUUCUAUGACUAUCAUAAGUAGGUUGAGUUGUGUGUUCUUAGCAGUGCCUUCUGCCCUAACCUUCUGUAUCUACAGCCAGGCUUACGAUUCUAGAGAGAACAGAAACAUUCUGCUGGAAUACUUAGUUCAUCUCAUCAGCCAGCUCUUAUGUAGCUCAAAUUCAAGAUGCAUAAUUUGCCACAUUAGGGGAACCUCCUGUGCACACAAGAAAUUAAGAAACGUAAACAGUAAACAAGCCUGGGCAUCGCUGACAAAUAAUCAAGGGAACUCUGGAAUCGACAUUUGGAUAAUAGUAGCUAUUUACUGUAAUUUGGGGGAAAGCAGCCUGGAGACCUGCUAAGGAUAUAAUAUGACUCUGUUACGUGUAGUAAGUAGCUUUCCCUGAGGAAAAAGAUUAUCUAGUUGAAAGGAUUCUGCUUACUUAUGGAGGUGUGAAAACACUAACUUUUAGAAUCUAAGGACUCUUGUCUCCUGUUAGGAAGAUGU